ensembl:lncRNA
GUGUGUGGGUGUGUGUGUGUGUGUGUGUGUGUGUGUGUGUGUGUGUGUGUGUGUGUGUGUGUGUGUACCUUGCCUCCUUAUGUGGGGAGGGGUGUAUGUUGAGGAGGUUGAAGACGUCUGACAACACCUGCGACCCAGGCAGGGGACACGCACGCACAGAUACACAUAGACACACACACAUUCACACCCACUGACCACAAACAUACACAUAGACCCACACAUUCACACACAUGCAUACAUACACGCAUACCGACCGCACACACACACGUACCGAACACACACACACACACACACACACACACACACACACACACACACACACACACACACACACACACACACACACACACACACACACACACACACACACACACACACACACACACACACACACACACACACACACACAUAUACAUACACUCUUGCAAAAGUACACACACAUACAUACACUCAAACACACAUACACAUAUGGACUGCACAUAGACACACACAAACAUAUUAACAGCACUUACCGAGGAAGAUUGGCAGCAGUGUUUGGGGCAUGGGUGUGUGUGUAGUGUGAGGCUGUAUUAGCGCAGAGGCUAGCGACCCCAUGAUGACUCUUGAUUGUUCCCUGCCACCGUUUGUUCCUUCAUGGCCAGCCAGCGUACCCCACCGGACCAAAGAUGGCCCCCCCUCCCCAUCCCCAGCCCACAAAACACACAACUUGCUCUCCAUGCGGCCGGUGAGACGGGACCCAGGAGACACCCACGUCUCCGCAGUGGACAGGACCAGCCAAAAAACCCAAAUAAAAUACCCCCCGGAAAAAACGCGUGCCACUCAGAGUUGCCGAGGCCGGAUCCCACUUUUGUAAAGGACAUGUUGUUUCAAGUCCGCUUCACUGUGUAAUUCCCCAGUAAUUGCUAUCUGUUUCUGGCUCCUAUUCGGGUGUCCAGCUGAUCCUCUCACAUGACGUUAAUCUAUUUAAUGGAUGCUUGGCAGAAGAAUUCUCUCCCUCGACAGAUUUGGGGAUAAUUUAAAUAUAUCGGACGUGAGUUCCCCCUAGCUACGCUGCCUCUCAGCUAUCAUGGCAGUGGAUUUUAUACAAUACAAAAAAAAAAUACAAAUUGAUAUUGAACAACAUUCUCAAAUAUUGGAACUAAACGGUGUAAUAUUAAUAAUAAUAAUGAUAUCACUGGCGUUUUUUUCAUUAGUCUGGUUUCCAUUUCCGACAUCAAGGGACCUGAAGCAGAUUCUUUACUUCAAAGAUUUAAGAUUUCAAAAUGGUGCAGGUGUUAAAUAUUAUUCAGGGGAGGCUUGAAGUGUGUGUGUGUGUGUGUGUGUGUGCGUUUGUGUGUGUGUG